GAUGAACGCUGGCGGCGUGCCUAAUACAUGCAAGUCGAGCGGACGGACGAGAAGCUGGCUUCUCUGAUUUUAGCAGAGGACGGGUCGUUAACACUUGGUUAACCUACCUAUAAGACUGGGAUAACUUCGGCAAACCUGCGCUAAUGCCGGAUAAUAUUUUGACCCUCAUGGUUCCAACGUGAAAGACGGUCGUGCUGUCACUUAUAGAUGGCUCCGCGCUUCAUUAGCUAGUUGGCAAGGUGACUGCUUACCAAGGCAACGAUGCAUAGCCGACCUCAGAGGGUGAGCGCCCACACUGGAACUGAGACACGGUCCAGCCUCCUACGGCAGGCACAAGUAGGGAAUCCUCCGCGAUGGGAGAAGUCGUGACGGAGCAGCGCCGCGUGAGUGCUGAAGGCCUCCGGACCGUAAGAAUCUGUAAUGAGGGAAGAAUAUAUGUGUAAGUCACUGGGCACAUUAUGACGGUAACUAAUAAGAGAGCCACCGCUAACUACGUG
rnacentral:rRNA from 1 species